UUGGGGGUAGCUCAAUGGGCAGAGCAGGCGGUUGUUAACCGCCAGGUUGCCGGUUCGAACCCGGCCUCCCGAGCCA
rnacentral:tRNA from 1 species